CCUGUUAGUGGGCGGCGAGUGUGCACCUCGCUAGAACCAUUGUUUGUUGCUUGAGUACUUUAGGUACUGUGUUUGACAUGCAUUAGAAUUAAAUUAUAUUUAUUCGGAGUGCUAUGUCCGGGUCCAUGGACUUCGGGGUAGCAUCCCAUACCUCGCUGAGCGAUUCCCCUGUCGCUCACCCCUCACUCUUCCCCUUUUCAGGUGAGUCAAACAAGUAAGUGAUAUUUGGACGGACUUGGUGCUAUUGGACUUUUCUUUCGGAUUUUUAUUUGGGCAUGGGUGAGAGUUAUCGGGUUUAUGGGCUUUUAUAUUACGGGAUAUUGUUGGUGGCCCGUCGUCCUUAGUGUCAGGGAGACGGGUGUCACAUUGUUGUAUGAUGACGCUUCGGGGUGACACGCUGUCCGGUGACGGGUGUCACAAUUUUCCUUUAGCAUAUGCUAUUUUGAUGUGUAAAGUGCAUCCAAAUCAGAGCGGCUUGUGAUUCUCAUCUUUCUCUGAUAUGAUUUGAACAUAAAUAAAGUUUCCCGUGUUCAAAUUGCCUUCUUUCUCUUCUAAGUUACUUUUAUAUCCCGCUUGAAUCUGAAGAUUCCUUUCUGUUGUUGCUUAUUCACUGUUCAGAUUGUUGUCAAUCUUUGCUUCAUUAGUUCAGUAGAGAUGAAACUUUCUUUUUGUGAAAGUGUUCCAAGAAAGGAUCUGCUCUUAAUCUUCACAAGAUUUCGCUGUGCUACCACCUCUGGCGAUUUGCGAUGGAGUUCCGUUGGAUUCAGCGGUUGUAUGAAAAAAGACUGCGAGUGGAAUCAAGUAGUAAGCUCUUUACAGCAAGUUCUAAUUCUCUGCUGUGGCAGAGAGAGACAGAGGACGGAGGAGUAAUCGUGGAAGACCACGGUGGUGAAAUCUGGCGACCAUCAGAUACUGGACCUUUGCAUGGACUUACGCGUGUGUAUUUGAUGCUUCUAGAAAUAAACACGUAGGGAAACGCAAACAUCUCUUCUAUUUAAUGGGCUUCAAUUAAUUUUAUAAUAUUUUGUUGGACCUCGUCCGUAGAAAAAUAAUUUCACUUAUAAUAUCUGUUGGGCUAAAGUUAAGGAUAUAAUAACCACCAGAAGUUGACUUUUUUUUUGAACACAU